AUUAAGAAGCUAUGAAUCAGCAUUAGCCUUUUAAGCUAAAGAAAGAGGGAUUCCCCCCCUCCUUAAUGAU
rnacentral:tRNA from 1 species